rnacentral:rRNA from 1 species
UGUGCCAGCCGCCGCGGUAAUACGUAGGGUGCGAGCGUUAAUCGGAAUUACUGGGCGUAAAGCGUGCGCAGGCGGUUAUGUAAGACAGAUGUGAAAUCCCCGGGCUCAACCUGGGAACUGCAUUUGUGACUGCAUGGCUAGAGUACGGUAGAGGGGGAUGGGAUUCCGCGUGUAGCAGUGAAAUGCGUAGAUAUGCGGAGGAACACCGAUGGCGAAGGCAAUCCCCUGGACCUGUACUGACGCUCAUGCACGAAAGCGUGGGGAGCAAACAGGAUUAGAUACCCUGGUAGUCCACGCCCUAAACGAUGUCAACUGGUUGUUGGGAAUUAGUUUUCUCAGUAACGAAGCUAACGCGUGAAGUUGACCGCCUGGGGAGUACGGCCGCAAGGUUGAAACUCAAAGAAAUUGACGAAGG